rnacentral:rRNA from 1 species
CUAGGAAUCUUGGGAAUGGGCGAAAGCCUGACCCAGCAACGCCGCGUGGGCGAUGAAGGCCUUCGGGUCGUAAAGCCCUUUUGCGGGGGACGAUGAUGACGGUACCCCGCGAACAAGCCACGGCUAACUACGUGCCAGCAGCCGCGGUAAUACGUAGGUGGCAAGCGUUGUCCGGAUUUACUGGGCGUAAAGGGCGUGCAGGCGGCUUGUUAAGUUCGAGGUGAAAGCUCCCGGCUCAACUGGGAGAGGUCCUCGGAUACUGGCAGGCUUGAGGGAGGCAGAGGAAAGUGGAAUUCCCGGUGUAGUGGUGAUAUGCGUAGAUAUCGGGAGGAACACCAGUGGCGAAGGCGGCUUUCUGGGCCUUACCUGACGCUGAGACGCGAAAGCGUGGGGAGCGAACCGGAUUAGAUACCCGGGUAGUCCACGCCGUAAACUAUGGACACUAGGUGUGGGGGGUAUCGACCCCCCCGUGCCGAAGCUAACGCAAUAAGUGUCCCGCCUGGGGAGUACGGCCGCAAGGCU